rnacentral:rRNA from 1 species
UACAGAGGUCUCAAGCGUUGUUCGGAUUCAUUGGGCGUAAAGGGUGCGUAGGUGGCGCGCUAAGUCAGGUGUGAAAUUUCGGAGCUCAACUCCGAAACUGCAUUCGAUACUGCCGUGCUUGAGGACUGGAGAGGAGACUGGAAUUUACGGUGUAGCGGUGAAAUGCGUAGAUAUCGUAAGGAAGACCAGUGGCGAAGGCGGGUCUCUGGACAGUUCCUGACGCUGAGGCACGAAGGUCAGGGGAGCAAACGGG